GUUUUUGACGGAGUUUGUGUGAUUGUGUGAAAAUGUGUAAAGUCCAAAUGCUGAGAGCGUUGGUGAAGCAGCGACUAACUGCGGCUGCUGAAGAGAUAUUUGGGCUGUUUGAAAGAACGAUAGCAGAGUACGAGGAGGAACUUUGUCGUUCAAAAGAGGAGAACGAGCGACAACGGAAACUACUGGACGCUGUUUUCAACCCUCAACUUCGGUUACACAGAGCAGAUGAAGUGUGAACUGCUCCUGAUGCUGUGCGUCACUGUGUGAGUGUGGAGGCAGUACGGCUGUCAGAGUUGGACAAAAGUGAUUGAUUAUGCUUUCCAAUAAACCCACAUAUAAUUGAUCUAUUCGACUAUCUAUUGCACAUAUGGACGUUAUAUAAUAAUGUGCAUUAUGUCCAGAUAAGACAAGUCAAUACGAGAGAUGUCAUUUCUUAUAGGUAUGAUUAUUUAAACUUUAACAUAUAAUUAUAUAUAUAAAUAUCUCUUGGAGGCAGAGAGUCGUCACUGUGGUGGUGGCGGAGGGAUUCACAGAGAUGUGGAGUUGUGAAGUGGCCCCGGCUCCUGCUGAGCUGGGGGGG
rnacentral:lncRNA from 15 species